rnacentral:rRNA from 1 species
GAUGAACGCUAGCGGCAGGCCUAAUACAUGCAAGCCGAACGGUAAUUCUGAUAGCAAUAUUGGAACUAGAGUGGCGUAAGGGUGCGUAACACGUAUGCAAUCUACCCGCAACAGGAGGAUAGCUCCCCGAAAGGGGAAUUAACCCUCCAUGAAAUCACACGAGGGCAUCCGAGAGUGAUUAAAUUUGAGGAGGUUGUGGAUGAGCAUGCGACUGAUUAGCUAGUUGGCAGUGUAACGGACUACCAAGGCGAUGAUCAGUAGGGGAACUGAGAGGUUGAUCCCCCACACUGGC